CAAUUGGCUCUCCUUGGCGGCCAUGACCGUGGUUCAAAAACACAUUCUCUACGCUUCCAUUUUCUCCGUCCAAAACCUCCAAGCCCUAGGUCUCAUCUCCAUGUACUGUGAGCAAAGCCUAUCCUGAGAUCCAACGUCUUCUUCUUUAGCUGCUCCUGUCUGAAUUCUCUGCAAAUCCAUGACAGACGAAGGCAUAUUUGCAGUUUGGUAGAUAAAUCCGCAGCAGCAGCUUUUUGACCCUGGGUUGUGGUGGUGGGGGUCGCAAUGGCGAACUCGACGUUGCCUCCGGUGGCUACAGGAUUGCUCAGGACCUUGCAUUCAGUUUGAUGACUUUAGUUGAUAGUUUUGAACAUGGCACACUGAUGGGCCUCAAAAUUGUUUCUAACAAUUAGGUAAUGGAUACAAAGCUGUUAAAGUAACACUUAUCUUUUGCAAUGAGAAUUUUACAAUGAUAAGUGUCUGGAGAGGGAAGCUGGGAGCUGAGUACUUUUUCUUUGUAUUAUAUUUUAAUUGGUCAGGAUACCAUUUUCUCUUUGUGUUCCGUAGACUUUUGCUUGCACUCAUAAUUUUCUAUUGACUGAUCUGCUCUUCUUGAA